UACGUAGGGUGCAAGCGUUAAUCGGAAUUACUGGGCGUAAAGCGUGCGCAGGCGGUUUUGUAAGUCUGUCGUGAAAUCCCCGGGCUCAACCUGGGAAUUGCGAUGGAGACUGCAAGGCUAGAAUCUGGCAGGAGGGGGGUAGAAUUCCACGUGUAGCAGUGAAAUGCGUAGAGAUGUGGAGGAACACCGAUGGCGAAGGCAGCCCCCUGGGUCAAGAUUGACGCUCAUGCACGAAAGGCGUGGGGAGCAAACAGGAUUACGAA
rnacentral:rRNA from 1 species